AUGGAGUCCCAGACCCAGGUCCUCAUGUCCUUGCUGCUCUGGGUGUCUGGUGAGAAUUUCAAAACUACCUGUGCAGAUAUUGUGAUGACCCAGUCUCCAUCCUCCCUGGCUGUGUCAGUAGGAGAGAAGGUCACCAUCAACUGCAAGUCCAGUCAGAGCCUUUUAGACAGUGAUGACCAGAAGAAUUAUUUGUCCUGGUACCAGCAGAAACCAGGACAGGCUCCUAAACGUCUAAUCUACUGGGCAUCCACUCGGGACACUGGGGUCCCUGAUCGCUUCACAGGCAGUGGGUCUGGGACAGAUUUCACUCUCACCAUCAGCAGUGUCCAGGCUGAGGACCUCGCAGAUUACUACUGUCAGCAGGAUUAUGAUUAUCCUCUCACAGUGCUUCAGCCUCCAACAAAAACCUUCUCUGAGAGUCUCACCAGCUGCCUACAGAACACAUAG